AUACGGAGGGUGCAAGCGUUACUCGGAAUCACUGGGCGUAAAGCGCGCGCAGGCGGCUUGAUAAGUUGGAUGUGAAAGCCUACGGCUCAACCGUAGAACUGCAUCCAAAACUAUUUGGCUAGAGUGUGGGAGAGGAAGAUGGAAUUAGUUGUGUAGGGGUAAAAUCCGUAGAGAUAACUAGGAAUACCAAAAGCGAAGGCAAUCUUCUGGAACAUUACUGACGCUGAGGCGCGAAAGCGUGGGGAGCAAACAGGAUUAGAAACCCCAGUAGUCC
rnacentral:rRNA from 1 species